UCGGUAGCCAAAAGGUAAUAGGGAAACAGGUGUAAAUCCUGUACAGACGCGCUGCUGUAAAUCUCAUUUGCCGUACCCACGGCAUUUCUGCCACAAGCCACUAUUCCUCAGGGAACGGGAAGGCGGUAGAAAGAGACAAGUCAGAAAACCUGCCAUCGAAGAUUU
rnacentral:ncRNA from 1 species